rnacentral:rRNA from 1 species
CCUACGGGAGGCAGCAGUGAGGAAUAUUGGUCAAUGGGCGCGAGCCUGAACCAGCCAAGUCGCGUGAGGGAUGAAGGUUCUAUGGAUCGUAAACCUCUUUUAUAAGGGAAUAAAGUGUGGGACGUGUCCUAUUUUGUAUGUACCUUAUGAAUAAGGAUCGGCUAACUCCGUGCCAGCAGCCGCGGUAAUACGGAGGAUCCGAGCGUUAUCCGGAUUUAGUGGGUUUAAAGGGUGCGUAGGCGGCCUUUUAAGUCAGCGGUGAAAGGCUGUGGCUCAACCAAGGAAAUGCCGUUGAAACUGGGGGGCUUGAGUAUGUUUGAGGCAGGCGGAAUUCGUGGUGUAGCGGUGAAAUGCUUAGAUAUCACGCAGAACCCCGAUUGCGAAGGCAGCCUGCCAAGCCAUGACUGACGCUGAUGCACGAAAGCGUGGGGAUCAAACAGGAUUAGAUACCCUUGUAGUC